AACGAACGCUGGCGGCGUGCCUAACACAUGCAAGUCGAGCGCGAAAGCUCCUUCGGGAGUGAGUAGAGCGGCAUACGGGUGAGUAACACGUGAGUUAUCUACCUUCAAGCCUGGAAUAACGGUCCGAAAGGACCGCUAAUACCGGAUAAGCCCACUUUUAUUAGUGAGAAAAGGAGGCCUCUUCUAUGCUUCCACUUGGAGAUGAGCUCGCGCCCCAUUAGGUAGUUGGUAGGGUAAUGGCCUACCAAGCCUACGAUGGGUAGCUGGUCUUAGAGGAUGAUCAGUCACACUGGAACUGAGACACGGUCCAGACUCCUACGGGAGGCAGCAGUGGGGAAUAUUGCGCAAUGGGCGAAAGCCUGACGCAGCAACGCCGCGUGGAUGAAGAAGGGUUUCGGCUCGUAAAGUCCUGUCCUGAAGGACGAAAGACUUUCGGUUAAUAUCCGAAAGGGAUGACGGUACUUCAGAAGAAAGCACCGGCUAACUCCG
rnacentral:rRNA from 1 species